rnacentral:tRNA from 2 species
GGAGAGCUGUCCGAGUGGCUUAAGGAGCAUGAUUGGAAAUCAUGUGUGCGGUGAACUCCGUACCCAGGGUUCAAAUCCCUGGCUCUCCGCCA